UCUUCUUCAUCCUCUUCCUCUUCUUCUUCUUCUUCUUCUUCUUGUGUGACGCGCUGCUGGACUGAAGGAAGCUGCAGGUGCAGAACAGUGGUCAUGGGUUCUCUGGUUCAAGCUUCCUGCUAACAGAGGGACAAAGAGCGGGGCAGCCGUUCAAGCCACAUCCUCCAGAGCCGCCACCUUUCAACUCAGGAAGAAGAAGAGGGGGAGAAGAAAGAGGCGUAAGCAAGAAAAGGAGUGCAAGAAAGAGAGAAGGGAGCGGGUGAGAACAGUCGAUGGAUGCUGUCCGGAUUGAGGGGACAGCACGUUCUUCACUGACGAGGAAAAGAAAGAUUUCAAAAUUGAGUCGAAGGAUAGAAACUCGCCGUCAGGCAUGGUGUGUGAGAAGGGGAUCCAGAUCCUUCUCACCACCGUGGGGGCAUUCGCUGCCUUCGGCCUGAUGACGGUGGCUAUAGGGACGGACUAUUGGCUGUACUCACGUGCCCUCAUCUGCAACAGCACAGCCAACGUCACCCAGGAUGACCCCCACAACAAGGACAAGAAGGACCCGGGGGCGCUCACCCACUCCGGACUGUGGAGGAUAUGCUGCCU